rnacentral:rRNA from 1 species
UUUCUGCCCUUUGUACACACCGCCCGUCGCUACUACCGAUUGAAUGGCUUAGUGAGGCCUUGGGAUUGGCUUCGGGGAGCCGGCAACGGCAUCCUGUUGCUGAGAACUUGGUCAAACUUGGUCAUUUAGAGGAAGUAAAAGUCGUAACAAGGUUUCCGUAGGUGAACCUGCGGAAGGAUCAUUAACGAGUUUUGAAAGGGGUUGUCGCUGGCCUUUCACGAGGCAUGUGCACACCCUGCUCAUCCACUCUCAACCUCUGUGCACUUAUUGUAGGUCGGUGGAAGGCUCGCAAGAGCUGGAAGCCUGCUUAUGUUUUACUACAAACGCUUCAGUUAUAGAAUGUUUACUUGCGUAUAACGCAUUUAUAUACAACUUUCAGCAACGGAUCUCUUGGCUCUCGCAUCGAUGAAGAACGCAGCGAAAUGCGAUAAGUAAUGUGAAUUGCAGAAUUCAGUGAAUCAUCGAAUCUUUGAACGCACCUUGCGCUCCCUGGUAUUCCGGGGAGCACGCCCGUUUGAGUGUCAUGGUAUUCUCAACCUUCCUCACUUUUGUGACUGGAAGGCUUGGAUGUGGAGGUCGUGCGGGCUCUCGCGAGUCGGCUCCUCUGAAAUGCAUUAGCGUGAACGUUUACGGAUCGCUAUCAGUGUGAUAAUUAUCUGCGCUGUUAGUGUUGAAGUAUUGCUUAGUGUCGCGCUUCUAACCGUCCUUCAGUUGGACAACUUAUCUGACAUCGUGCCUCAAAUCGGGCGGGACUACCCGCUGAACUUAAGCAUAUCAAUAAGCGGAGGAAAAGAAACUAACAAGGAUUCCCCUAGUAACUGCGAGUGAAGCGGGAAAAGCUCAAAUUUAAAAUCUGGCAGCCUUCGGUUGUCCGAGUUGUAGUCUGGAGAAGCGUUUUCCGCGCUGGACCGUGUACAAGUCUCCUGGAACGGAGCGUCAUAGAGGGUGAGAAUCCCGUCUUUGACACGGACUACCAGUGCUUUGUGAUGCGCUCUCAAGAGUCGAGUUGUUGGGA